rnacentral:rRNA from 1 species
CCUACGGGAGGCAGCAGUGGGGAAUAUUGCACAAUGGGGGAAACCCUGAUGCAGCGACGCCGCGUGAGUGAAGAAGUAUCUCGGUACGUAAAGCUCUAUCAGCAGGGAAGAAAAUGACGGUACCUGACUAAGAAGCCCCGGCUAACUACGUGCCAGCAGCCGCGGUAAUACGGAGGGGGCAAGCGUUAUCCGGAUUGACUGGGUGUCAAGGGAGCGUAGACGGCAGCACAAGUCUGGAGUGAAAUCCCGGGGCUUCACCCCGGAACUGCUUUGGAAACUGUGCGGCUGGAGUGCAGGAGGGGUCAGCGGAAUUCCUAUUGUAGCGGUGCCAUGCGUCGAUCUUAGGCG